rnacentral:rRNA from 1 species
AUUGAACGCUGGCGGCAGGCCUAACACAUGCAAGUCGAACGGUAACAGGAAGAAGCUUGCUUCUUUGCUGACGAGUGGCGGACGGGUGAGUAAUGUCUGGGAAACUGCCUGAUGGAGGGGGAUAACUACUGGAAACGGUAGCUAAUACCGCAUAACGUCGCAAGACCAAAGAGGGGGACCUUCGGGCCUCUUGCCAUCGGAUGUGCCCAGAUGGGAUUAGCUAGUAGGUGGGGUAACGGCUCACCUAGGCGACGAUCCCUAGCUGGUCUGAGAGGAUGACCAGCCACACGGGAAGUGAGACACGGUCCAGACUCCUACGGGAAGCAGCAGUGGGGAAUAUUGCACAAUGGGGGCAAGCCUGAUGCAGCCAUGCGGCGUGUAUGAAGAAGGCCUUCGGGUUGUAAAGUACUUUCAGCGGGGGGGAAGGGAGUAAAGUUAAUACCUUUGCUCAUUGACGUUACCCGCAGAAGAAGCACCGGCUAACUCCGUG